rnacentral:rRNA from 1 species
AGUGAACGCUGGCGGUAGGCCUAACACAUGCAAGUCGAACGGCAGCACAGGAGAGCUUGCUCUCUGGGUGGCGAGUGGCGGACGGGUGAGGAAUACAUCGGAAUCUACCUUGUCGUGGGGGAUAACGUAGGGAAACUUACGCUAAUACCGCAUACGACCUUCGGGUGAAAGUGGGGGACCGCAAGGCCUCACGCGAUUAGAUGAGCCGAUGUCGGAUUAGCUAGUUGGCGGGGUAAAAGCCCACCAAGGCGACGAUCCGUAGCUGGUCUGAGAGGAUGAUCAGCCACACUGGAACUGAGACACGGUCCAGACUCCUACGGGAGGCAGCAGUGGGGAAUAUUGGACAAUGGGCGCAAGCCUGAUCCAGCCAUACCGCGUGGGUGAAGAAGGCCUUCGGGUUGUAAAGCCCUUUUGUUGGGAAAGAAAUCUUGCCGGUUAAUACCUGGCGAGGAUGACGGUACCCAAAGAAUAAGCACCGGCUAACUUCGUGCCAGCCGCCGCGGUAACAC